UUAUAAGCACAGUUCAUCGGUCGUGUUUCAAAGCAGAAGAAGCUUCUUUUAUCUUCUUUUACCUUGCUCCAGCAGGCGCAGCGGAAGAAGAAGCACGGAGUACUAGAAUGGCGUAACGGAUUCUUGCCUGCUUGUAGGGUUUGGCUUGGUGGUUGUUGAAUAAACGAAAUCAAUCAUGCA
rnacentral:lncRNA from 1 species